GAGGAGGGAAUAAGACCUG
rnacentral:tRNA from 1 species